rnacentral:rRNA from 1 species
GACGAACGCUGGCGGCGUGCCUAAUACAUGCAAGUCGAGCGAAGCGGCGGAUGGGUGAGAAACGCGUGGGUAACCUGCCCUUAAGUCUGGAAUACCAUUUGGAAACAGAUGCUAAUACCGGAUACUAAGGUAUGGAGCUGCGAUGCAUUAGCUAGUUGGUAAGGUAACGGCUUACCAAGGCGAUGAUGCAUAGCCGGGGUGAGAGACUGAUCGGCCACAUUGGAACUGAGACACGGCCCAAACUCCUACGGGAGGCAGCAGUAGGGAAUAUUCCACAAUGGACGAAAGUCUGAUGGAGCAACGCCGCGUGAGUGAAGAAGGUUUUCGGAUCGUAAAGCUCUGUUGUUGGUGAAGCGGUAAUCAACCAGAAAGCCACGGCUAACUACGUGCCAGCAGCCGCGGUAAUUC